GACGAACGCUGGCGGCGUGCUUAACACAUGCAAGUCGAGCGAUGAAGCACCUUCGGGUGUGAAUUAGCGGCGAACGGGUGAGGAACACGUGAGGAAUCUGCCUUCAACACUGGGAUAACUCCGGGAAACCGGGGCUAAUACCGGAUAUGAAACCUGCGGGCAUCCGCGGGUUUGGAAAGUUUUUCGGUUGAAGAUGAUCUCGCGGCCUAUCAGCUUGUUGGUGAGGUAAUGGCUCACCAAGGCGACGACGGGUAGCCGGCCUGAGAGGGCGACGUGCCACACUGGGACUGAGACACGGCCCAGACUCCUACGGGAGGCAGCAGUGGGGAAUAUUGGGCAAUGGAGGAAACUCUGACCCAGCGACGCCGCGUGCGGGAUGAAGGCCUUCGGGUUGUAAACCGCUUUCAGCAGGGAAGAAGCGAAAGUGACGGUACCUGCAGAAGAAGCACCGGCUAACUAUGUGCCAGCCGCCGCAGUAA
rnacentral:rRNA from 1 species